GGGAGGCGAGGUGGCACGCCGCGAGGAGCAGCACGGCCACCAGCGCCAGCACCUUGGCGCUCCUCACGCUGAAGUAGUGGUUGAUCUCCCGCUUGCCCAGGAGGUAAUAGAGAUAAAGAGGACGGGAAAAGGAGACACAAUGGAGCAGCCAUAAUAGUAGGAGGAGCAGUUUUGAGAAGCCCUAAUAUUGGAAGGAUUGGAGAGGAGUACUGAAGGAAGAUGCUGGGAAGAAAAAUCCUGAGAAGGACAAUGAGACUGAGGCAUCCUGAAAAUGCAUUCCCAGGACAUUGUCCCAGGCUGCAGAGGAAUUUGGUUCCUGAGUCUCCUCACACAUUCAGAAAAUAUUGCAUAUUCUAUGUUAUAGAAACAAUAAGUGCAAAAAUAUAUUUAAAAAGAGCUCAUACAAGAGGUUACUCGUUUUCUUUUUUAAAUCACAACAACUGAAGGGCAACAACAGCUGCUGGAGUUAUGUUUGUCAGACAUUUUAGGUUAGUUUUCCCCUUUGCGUGAAUGGGUUCCAUUGAUAACACCAAACCGGGUAUAUGUUGAGAUUGCCACCCACUGGUGAAAUAGAGAAUUUUCAUUUGCACCAGUUAAGAAAACACUUGUUCUCUGUUUCAGAGUAUGAACUCAUACAUGUAGGUUCUUUAAAAAUAUAUAUUUCAAACUCCAUUAGAAGAAUAAAGAAUUUCAUUAUUAUGAAACA
rnacentral:lncRNA from 1 species